rnacentral:rRNA from 1 species
UACGUAGGGUGCGAGCGUUAAUCGGAAUUACUGGGCGUAAAGCGUGCGCAGGCGGUUUUGUAAGCCAGAUGUGAAAUCCCCGGGCUUAACCUGGGAAUGGCAUUUGGGACUGCAAGGCUGGAGUGCGGCAGAGGAGACUGGAAUUCCUGGUGUAGCAGUGAAAUGUGUAGAGAUCGGGAGGAACACCGGUGGCGAAGGCGGGUCUCUGGGCAUCUCCUGACGCUGAGGCGCGAAAGCGUGGGGAGCAAACGGG